AUAUAGUUAAUAUAGAAUAUUGGAUAAAUGACUACAUAGUAGUAUACAGUAUUUACUUCUUGAAACAGUUUAUCAUUUCUAAUUGAUAAUAAUUUUCUAAAUAUUUUUUUAUUUUUUUUAAUAAGAUAUUAAGUAACACAAAAAUUCAAAAUUAAAUAAUAAGUGUUAAAAACAAGUUGAUUACUUAUUCAUGAUGGAUAGUACGAAAUCACCUAUGGAUAACCUCUUUAACAUGUUAUCAAGCUUUAGUGCAGGUCAUGAAAAAGCAUUAAAACAAGGCAUUUAUAAUGCCGUGGCAUUGUUUCUUUUGUGUCUAAUUUCAGCGGCUGGGUACGGAUUAUAUAUUAUAUUGAAACCAUUUGUAAAACCUUUAAUUUGGGCUUUAUUAUGUGGUUCUGUUUUAUUUCCUUUCAAAUGUUCAUUAACUACGAUUGUACAGUCGUGGUUUGAAAAAGCAGAAGUAUCUCAUACGCCUUUAAUAAUAAAUUUAAUAAUUUUACCUAUGCAAAUAAUAGAUAAAGCUUCUGACAGUUUAGGAUCAUUUUUGUGGAAACAAAUGAAAUAUAUUGUUAGUGCAUUUUUACUGACAGUAUUAGCUUUAGGUAUAUAUCAUUAUACACCUACUAUAUUAAGUUGUCUCAUAUGGAGAAUAUGUUUGAUAUUUAAUACUAUUUUUGGAUUUUUUAUAACAACUUGCAAUACUUUUAUGAUUACAUUUAUACUUAUUGGAUAUUUAUCUAUAUUAUAUAUUUAUUGGACACCAAAUAAUUCUAUUCAUUUUCGUUAUACAUCGUUUGUUAUGUGGUUCAUAAUUAGUUUAUAUAUUUCUAAUAUAUUAGGUGCUUAUCAAAUUAUUGUAUUUGUAACAUUACAAAUACUAUAUUUAAUAGGAUUUAUUUAUGAAGUAAUACUUAUUAUGGAAAAUCAAGAAUUAGAAGAUAAACAUAUGACAUUUAUGGAAGCAAUAUCUUUUGCAUUAACAAAUAAUUUAACUACAGAUAUACAGCAAAGUUCAUUUUCUUCAUCUUUUAAAAAUGAAAAACUUAUAAAAGAUAUUAAUGAAGAAAGUAUAGAUAACAAGACAAGUACAGACAAGAAGACUGAAUAUCAAGAAAUAAAAACAAAAUUUUCUAAAAAAUCAAUAUCAUUGGAUACAAAUAAUAGAACUAUAAUGAGUCAUAAAUUGCAAUCUUCUAACUCUAUGUCAUUACGUGAUCGUUAUUUAUUAAGAAGAUUAAAAACAGAAUUACGAAUAUCUAUAGAUAUAGAAAAUGAUAAAGUUGAUACUGACAAAUAUAUGUAUGGUACAUUAUAUGCUUGCAUAGGUAUGCUUUUUUGGAAACAUAGAUGGAUGAUAUAUAUAUUAAUUAUUCCUAUAGCUUUUUAUAUCAUUAAACAACUUAGUAGUUAUUUUGGAUUAUGGAAAAUGAUUGAAAAUCAGUAUAACAUUAUAAAACAAAUUAUAAAAACAUGGUGUAUAAAAAGACAUCAAGCUCUCUUACCAGCUAAUAUUAGAGGUUUAUAUAAAUUUGGAAUUAUAAUUGAUGAAAAAUUAACAAAAAUUUUAAAAGCUUCAGUUGAUUCUGUAGUAACAAUUGCUGUGAUUUUUGGAUUACUUAUAUUUACUACUUGUACUUCUAUUUUUAUAACAAUACAGGUUUAUACAGAAGGUAUGCAUCUUAUUCACAUUACUGGAGAAAUACUUAACUCAUCUUUAAUGAAUAAUCCAGAUAUUGAUUGGUUACCUGAACAUUGGGAAGAUUCAGUUAAUAGUGUAUUGGAUAAUGCUUAUACAUAUGGGCGAAGUGCUAUUUCUGAUGGAAUAAAAGGUUUAGUAAGAGAUCUAGAUGCUACUAAGGCUGAUCAAAUGGAAAAGAAAGUUUUAGAACUUUGGGAUAGACUUUAUCAAGCAUGGAUGAUGUCUAAUGUAGAUUCUGAUUUAAUUGGACCUACUGUAGAUGUUACAGUAGCUUAUUCAGUUUGGGAAAGUUUUAAAGAAAGUUUUGGAAAAACACCUUUACAAUUAUUUAACAUGACUGGUAUACAAAACUUUAUAAAAGAAAAUAUUGGAAUUUUUAUGUCAGUAUUGGAUUCCAUUUGGAAUAUAGUUAAAGGAAAUAUGUCUGUGAUAUUAACAAUUUUUACAGAACUAUUUUAUAUUAUACUUAUGAGUGGAACAGCAGUAUUUAACUUUGUCCUAAGUAUGGUGGUGUUUUUUACAACACUCUUUUAUCUUCUUAGUUCUAGUGAAAAAACGUAUAAACCUAUUGAGUUAACUACAAUAUUCAGUCCUAUUAGUUGUCAUAGCACUCUCCAAAUUGAAGGGUAUGUAUGUAUUUGCUGUAGCAUUACAAGAAGCUGUAAUUGGAGUUUUUACUGCAACAUUUAAACUUGCUUGUUUUUUUGGCAUGUGGACAUGGUUUAUACAUAAUUUAUUUCAAGUAAAAAUAAUUUAUUUACCAUCAACUUUUGCAACAAUACUUGGAGCUGUUCCAUUUUUGGAUGCAUAUUUUGCUUGUAUCCCAGCUACUAUAGAACUCUGGUUUAAUCGAGGACCUAUGAUUGCUAUUCUAUUUUUCAUGUUUCAUUUUCUUCCUUGUAAUAUUGUUGUAACUGAAUUCUACAAGGAAAUUAAAGGUGGUGGACAUCCUUAUCUUACAGGUCUUUCCAUAGCAGGUGGAAUUUUUUGUUUAGGUGUAGAAGGUGUAAUUUUUGGUCCAUUAUUAUUAUGUUGUAUAAUGGUAGCAAUUAAUCUAAGUCGUCGUUAUUUGCAUUCACCAUCAGAAGAAGUUAUAUCCACGUAUGCAGAAAUUAAACAUUGAUAAAAAAAUUUCUAAUUGAUAUUUAUUGUUAAAUAGUAAAAAAAA